rnacentral:misc_RNA from 1 species
GUGAAUCAUCAAAUUUUUGAACGCAAAUUGCACUCUCUUCGGAGAGUAUGACUGUUUGUGGGUGAGCCUAAAAAAAAAUUGAAAUUGUUGGUGUUUCGCGGUGACAUUCGUCGGAAAUUGGGUCAUCUUAAGCCUUUGGGGUUUAUGUGGAUUAAAUUUUUCUUUAAGAUUCCACGAAUGUUUCUUAGAUUUACUUCUUAUUCGUUUAAGGUAUUGAUC